CCCCGGUGCGGAAGAACCCGCCGGCGCUCCCACCGCUGGAGCCCAAGCGUCCGCUGAUCGGCUCCGCGGCCGCGGC
rnacentral:tRNA from 2 species